rnacentral:misc_RNA from 1 species
GGAAACAGGGAAGAGAGCUGAA